rnacentral:rRNA from 1 species
UAUUCCCCACUGCUGCCUCCCGUAGAAGUUUGGACCGUGUCUCAGUUCCAAUGUGGCCGAUCACCCUCUCAGGUCGGCUACUGAUCGUCACCUUGGUGGGCCGUUACCCCGCCAACUAGUUAAUCAGACGCAGGCCCAUCCUUAGCCGAUAAAUCUUUGGCCAGCUCAACAUGUGUUAAGUUGGCAUUAUGAGGUUUUAAUCAUCGUUUCCAAUGGCUAUCCCUCUGCUAAGGGCAGGUUGCCUACGCGUUACUCACCCGUCCGCCGCUUUCCACUACACAGGAUUGUCCGAAAACGCUUCAAAGUAGCUUCUCGCUCGACUUGCAUGUAUUAGGCACGCCGCCAGCGUUCAUCCUGAGCCAA